ensembl:lncRNA
GAUGUUGGGUUUCUGAAUCUGUUCUUAAAGUCAACAGAUGUGUUGGUUUAUCAGAACCACUUUCAUACUGUUCGACCCUACUCACUUUAAUUCUUUAUCAAUUCAUAUCAUCAUAUCAACCUAGCUAUCAACACAGAUAGCUAGGUUAACCCAUUCCCCCUAUACCACACAGAUAGCUUGGUUAACCCAUUCCCCCUGUACAACACAGAUAGCUAGGUUAACCCAUUCCCCCUAUACAACACAGAUAGCUAGGUUAACCCAUUCCCCCUAUACCACACAGAUAGCUAGGUUAACCCAUUCCCCCUAAAUAACACAGAUAGCUAGGUUAACCCAUUCCCCUAUACAACACAGAUAGCUAGGUUAACCCAUUCCCUGUAUACAACACAGAUAGCUAGGUUAACCCAUUCCCCCUAUACAACACAGACAGCUAGGUUAACCCAUUCCCUGUAUACCACACAGAUAGCUAGGUUAACCCAUUCCCCCUAUAUAACACAGAUAGCUAGGUUAACCCAUUCCCCCUAUACAACACAGAUAGCUAGGUUAACCCAUUCCCCCUAUACAACACAGAUAGCUAGGUUAACCCAUUCCCCCUAUACAACACAGAUAGCUAGGUUAACCCAUUCCCCCUUUACAACACAGAUAGCUAGGUUAACCCAUUCCCCCUAUACAACACAGAUAGCUAGGUUAACCCAUUCCCCCUAUACAACACAGAUAGCUAGGUUAACCCAUUCCCCCUAUACAACACAGAUAGCUAGGUUAACCCAUUCCUAGUUGAGUGGAGGAUUCAAAUGAAGCUUAGACAAAGCGUUUCACUGUAACCUGGAGAGAUGUCAAUACAGUUAAAAGAAAUCCUCCAUAAAUGUUCUGUAGACAGGGGGCGGAGCC